rnacentral:rRNA from 1 species
AGCAUCGCAGACCGUCUUAACUGUCAGCUCGGGAGCUUCCCCACGACUUAUUUGGGAAUCCCCAUUAGUAACACGCGGUUCACGGUGGCCGAGCUACGCCCCAUGGUGGGCAAGCUCCAACACCGCAUCGAGCCUUGGCAGGGGCGGUGUCUCUCUAAAGCAGCCCGAACGGUGCUCAUUAACUCGUCCUUAUCUAACCUGCUCCUAUUCAUUAUGAGCUUCUACAGCCUGCCUGAGACUCUGCACCAUGAGAUCGCCAGAGUCCAGGGACGCUUCUUCUGGGCUGGCGAGGGCGAUAAGCAGAAGUACAACAUGGUUCGGUGGACUGAGAUCUAA